UACGUAGGGGGCAAGCGUUGUCCGGAAUCAUUGGGCGUAAAGCGCGUGUAGGCGGCUCGGUAAGUCUGCUGUGAAAGCCCAGGGCUCAACCCUGGGAUGCCGGUGGAUACUGUCGAGCUCGAGUCCGGAAGAGGCGAGUGGAAUUCCUGGUGUAGCGGUGAAAUGCGCAGAUAUCAGGAGGAACACCAAUGGCGAAGGCGGCUCACUGGCCCGGUACUGACGCUGAGGUGCGAAAGCGUGGGGAGCAAACAGG
rnacentral:rRNA from 1 species